GAUGAACGCUGGCGGCGUGCCUAAUACAUGCGAGUCGAGCGAACGGACGAGAAGCUUGCUUCUCUGAUGUUAGCGGCGGACGGGUGAGUAACACGUGGAUAUCCUACCUAUAAGACUGGGAUAACUUCGGGAAACCGGAGCUAAUACCGGAUAAUAUUUUGAACCGCAUGGUUCAAAAGUGAAAGACGGUCUUGCUGUCACUUAUAGAUGGAUCCGCGCUGCAUUAGCUAGUUGGUAAGGUAACGGCUUACCAAGGCAACGAUGCAUAGCCGACCUGAGAGGGUGAUCGGCCACACUGGAACUGAGACACGGUCCAGACUCCUACGGGAGGCAGCAGUAGGGAAUCUUCCGCAAUGGGCGAAAGCCUGACGGAGCAACGCCGCGUGAGUGAUGAAGGUCUUCGGAUCGUAAAACUCUGUUAUUAGGGAAGAACAUAUGUGUAAGUAACUGUGCACAUCCUGACGGUACCUAAUCAGAAAGCCACGGCUAACUACGUG
rnacentral:rRNA from 1 species